GCAUUGGUCGUUCAGUGGUAGAAUUCUUGCCUGCCACGCGGGAGACCUAGGUCGGUUUCCCGGCCAAUGCA
rnacentral:tRNA from 1 species